AACGAACGCUGGCGGCAGGCUUAACACAUGCAAGUCGAACGGAUCCUUCGGGAUUAGUGGCAGACGGGUGAGUAACGCGUGGGAACGUACCCUUUGCUACGGAAUAACUCAGGGAAACUUGAGCUAAUGCCGUAUGUGCCCUACGGGGGAAAGAUUUAUCGGCAAAGGAUCGGCCCGCGUUGGAUUAGCUAGUUGGUGGGGUAAUGGCCUACCAAGGCGACGAUCCAUAGCUGGUCUGAGAGGAUGAUCAGCCACACUGGGACUGAGACACGGCCCAGACUCCUACGGGAGGCAGCAGUGGGGAAUAUUGGACAAUGGGCGCAAGCCUGAUCCAGCCAUGCCGCGUGAGUGAUGAAGGUCUUAGGAUUGUAAAGCUCUUUCACCGGUGAAGAUAAUGACGGUAGCCGGAGAAGAAGCCCCGGCUAACUUCGUG
rnacentral:rRNA from 1 species